GGAGAGGUGCCAGAGUGGUUGAAUGGGACGGUCUCGAAAACCGUUGUGGGGCUCGUCCCCACCGUGGGUUCGAAUCCCACCCUCUCCGCCA
rnacentral:tRNA from 1 species